UCCGUAGGUGAACCUGCGGAAGGAUCAUUAAAGAGUAAGGGUGCUCAGCGCCCGACCUCCAACCCUUUGUUGUUAAAACUACCUUGUUGCUUUGGCGGGACCGCUCGGUCUCGAGCCGCUGGGGAUUCGUCCCAGGCGAGCGCCCGCCAGAGUUAAACCAAACUCUUGUUAUUUAACCGGUCGUCUGAGUUAAAAUUUUGAAUAAAUCAAAACUUUCAACAACGGAUCUCUUGGUUCUCGCAUCGAUGAAGAACGCAGCGAAAUGCGAUAAGUAAUGUGAAUUGCAGAAUUCAGUGAAUCAUCGAAUCUUUGAACGCACAUUGCGCCCCUUGGUAUUCCGAGGGGCAUGCCUGUUCGAGCGUCAUUACACCACUCAAGCUAUGCUUGGUAUUGGGUGCCGUCCUUAGUUGGGCGCGCCUUAAAGACCUCGGCGAGGCCUCACCGGCUUUAGGCGUAGUAGAAUUUAUUCGAACGUCUGUCAAAGGAGAGGACUUCUGCCGACUGAAACCUUUAUUUUUCUAGGUUGACCUCGGAUCAGGUAGGGAUACCCGCUGAACUUAAGCAUAUCAAUAAGCGGAGGA
rnacentral:rRNA from 1 species